rnacentral:rRNA from 1 species
AGAGUUUGAUCCUGGCUCAGAACGAACGCUGGCGGCAGGCCUAACACAUGCAAGUCGAACGCUCGUAGCAAUACGGGAGUGGCAGACGGGUGAGUAACACGUGGGAACGUACCCUUCGGUUCGGGAUAACUCAGGGAAACUUGAGCUAAUACCGGAUACGUCCGAGAGGAGAAAGGUUUACUGCCGAAGGAUCGGCCCGCGUCUGAUUAGCUAGUUGGUGAGGUAACGGCUUACCAAGGCUAUGACGGUUAGCGGAUCUGAGAGGAUGACCCGCCACACUGGGACUGCGACACGGCCCAGACUCCUACGGGAGGCAGCAGUUUGGAAUUUUGGACAAUGGACGAAAGUCUGAUCCAGCGACGCCGCGUGGACGAAGAAGGUUUUCGGAUUGUAAAGUCCUUUUGGCAGGGAACAAUUUUGAGUGUACCUGCAGAAUAAGAGGUUGCUAACUCUGUGCCAGCCGCCGCGGUAAUAC